UUCCAAAGUGUUGAGUUCAGUUCAGGGCAGCUUCCCUGUUCUGCUAAUUAAACUUUGGGACACUGAAGCACAGGCUAGGGGACAUGACUGGAUAGAAAGCAUCACUCUGUUCGUUCAUCUCCCAGCCUACAAAA
ensembl:snoRNA